AUUGAACGCUGGCGGCAGGCCUAACACAUGCAAGUCGAGCGAGCGGCGGACGGGUGAGUAAUGUCUGGGAAACUGCCUGAUGGAGGGGGAUAACUACUGGAAACGGUAGCUAAUACCGCAUACCAUCAGAUGUGCCCAGAUGGGAUUAGCUCGUAGGUGGGGUAACGGCUCACCUAGGCGACGAUCCCUAGCUGGUCUGAGAGGAUGACCCGCGACAGUGGAAAUAAGCCACGGUCCAGACUCCUACGGGAGGCAGCAGUGGGGAAUAUUGCACAAUGGGCGCAAGCCUGAUGCAGCCAUGCCGCGUGUAUGACGAAGGACUGCGGGUUGUAAAGCACUUAAAGCGGGGAGGCGUUACCCGCAUAAGAAGCACCGGCUAACUACGUGCCAGCAGCCGCGGUAAUAC
rnacentral:rRNA from 1 species